rnacentral:lncRNA from 1 species
AAAAAAGUUAUCAAAGAAUGCAUCCAUGAAAACUUCCUAGGUGGUAAGGGGUCAAGGCCACCUUCAAAAUGUGGCGAGUUAAGCUUCUUAAACUCCGCUAUGUUAUGGGAAAUAGAACUCUCGACUGUUCGGUAUUUGGGGGUAGGAGGUGGACAAGGGUUGACUUGAUUUUGUCCUACAAUUGUAGUCAAUCCUCGGAUGGCUCGGAAGAGUU